rnacentral:lncRNA from 1 species
AGGGCAGUGGUGGAGUCACCAUCCCUGGAGGGAUUUAAAAGUUGGGUUGACCUAGUGCUUAGAGACAUGGGUUAGGGAUGGUUUUCAUCAGAGUUGGGUUGAUGGUUGGACUCCCAUGAUCUGAAAGGUCUCUUCCAACCCAGGUGGUUCUAUGAUUGGGGUUUGUGUCUCCAAACAGGGUGUGACUGGAGAGCCCGUCCCAUGGUGGAUGUUCCUGCUGGGAGAAGGGGAAGCAUCCAGCCUUCUGGAGGACAGACUGAUGACUCAAGAAGAGCCUGUUGAUGGGAAAAACAGGCAGGAGUGGAGAGGAAUCAAGAAGAUGAAGGCAGGUUUUGUUUUCUAAUGAAUUACGGAGCGUUGUCCUUCAGCACAGUCACUCCCAUCCAAGCACCGUGGUGGCCACAGCCCAAGGAUGGAGCCAGACCCUUCACAAGGACCUUCACUGAGAGGACAAGAGGCAAGAAAUUGAACUAUUGAGAUACAGGGAGUCCAUUUACACACGAGAGAAAGGGCGUUUUUAGGUAAGAGUAUGGUUCUUGGCCAUACUCAAAACCCAACAGGCCAUGUAGGGGUUGG